rnacentral:rRNA from 1 species
UACGUAGGGGGCAAGCGUUAUCCGGAUUUACUGGGUGUAAAGGGAGCGUAGACGGUCCUGCAAGCCAGAUGUGAAAGCCCGGGGCUCAACCCCGGGACUGCAUUUGGAACUGUAAGGCUAGAGUGCCGGAGAGGCAGGCGGAAUUCCUAGUGUAGCGGUGAAAUGCGUAGAUAUUAGGAGGAACACCAGUGGCGAAGGCGGCCUGCUGGACGAUGACUGACGUUGAGGCUCGAAAGCGUGGGGAGCAAACAGG